AUCCCUUAAUGUUUUAAUAGUAACACGAAUUUUGCAUUUACCAUUGAAUUUUCCUAGUCAAUCAUCAUUUAUAGACCUACAAUGUAUCACAUCAAGCAUAUGCGGGUGUUUGGAUUUAUAAAUAUUAUUAUUAUUUAUACUGCGGUUUAGUGCUCGAAUUGUAAAGGUUUUCGCUUAAUCACUUCAUGAUUUUAAUAUACCGUGUUGUUCCGACAAAAAUCUCAUAUUGUAUAUAAUGUCCUAAUGGAAAUUUUGCAGAUUUCUAGUAGACAUUUUCACAUUUAUUUAAGGCUUAUGAUAGAAGGGUAUUAGUUUAUGACAAAUAUAGGAAUAGUUUUAAAUAUAUACAAUAAAGUAAUUAGUUUACAGCGAAUAUAACAAAGUUUUAUUUACAUAAAAAAUAGCCAAAAGUCAUAGAAAGUAUACAUUGACUAUACAAUAUAGCUCGUUUUAAGUUAUAGAAAAUAGACAUUAACUAUACAAUAUAGUUCAUCUAUACAUGAGCUAUACUUUAGAUAUACAUUAUAUACACUCAAAAAGUUGAUCCAAGAAAAAACAAGUAUGAAUAAAAUGACAACAUUCAUAAUUUCACAAGUUAAAUAUAUCCCUCUUCACUCUCAGCAAGACAAAAACACUAAUUAUUUAUUUAGAACUUAAUAUAUAUCUAUCAACAAUUGUACGUUCAAUAAAGAUCACAAACUCCAUGUAGUGAUAUAUUUGCCUUUUUAAUUAGUAAAUGUUAAACAACUCACAUUUCAAAUAUUAUGUUGAUUUGUAUUGGAUUUAUUUAAAAACAAACAACUCUCUCUAAAUAAUAAAAUUUGUAAGCUAAUUUAUUUAAAUAAAUUUAUUAGUACAAAUAUAAAACAUAAAAUACAGAAAAUAAACAAAACCGUUAAAAGAAUUUUGAGGGAUAUUUUUUUUGCUUUACAUAGAUUUAUACCGUGGUAUUAAAUUCUAUGUAUUCCUAAUAUCACCAAAUGUAAGGUAUUAGUUAUACAUCAUAUAGCAUGUUGGGUGAGUAACUAAUCCAUGAAUUAGCUAUACAUAGGCCUUAAAUUCCUACCAAACACAGUACUAAAUAAUACUAUACAAAUACAUGGACUAUUUCUCCUAACAUUCCCUUCCAAACGACUCAUUAGUAUUUUUCAGUCUUUUGAUGUUUCUACAACCUAUAUAAACUUUGUCCUAAUUAAACUUUCUUUUGCUUGUCUCUGCCCAACCUGUGUUACCAUAAUCUGGUAUUCCAUUAGUGAUGAGCUACCAAAGGAAUUCGUACCAAAACCCUAAAUUUUUAUCAGAUUAACUUCGCUGGUAGGUGUCAUUGUCAACGCCAGCGAUAGAUGGCCUACGCUCCAUGCUGAUGAACCACCACCAAAACCACCGUUGAACUAUGCAACAAAUUUUAAUAAAGUAGAAGACAAAAUCACAAUGCCUAUCCCUAUCAAAGAUAUUACUUCCAUCCAUGGAGACCCAACUGUAUUAUGGGAGGAAGAAGAGGUUCAAAUCAUGAUCAUUAAAAAAGAUUUAUAGUAUGCCAUAACUGAAAUUUUUUCUUAGGGCUGGUCAAACCUAGAAAAGAUUCGUAAAUUGAUCCUUUACGGUGUGAGAUUCAAGCCUGAAUGUAAGGAAGGAUUCUUGAGUGAUAGACACAUACUAAUUCGGCUUACCAAUAUGAAAGAUUACGUACAUGUCAUGUCAAAAUUGACAUAUUUUUUGAAGGCUAAAGACCGAUAUAAUAUCAUAUGUGACCUCUAAAGUGGGAACCCUAGUUCAACCCAAAGGAGGAAACUACUAUUGUCUUAGUGUGGAUCUCUUUUUUAUCCCUAUCACCUACCUUUUUCGUUAAAGAAUUCUUGUUUACGAUGGACAAAGCAGUGGGAAACCGUUACAUGUUGUCAUGGCUACAAUAAGCAAAUCUAGACCUAGUUUUGUCAUGGUAAAGGUUGAGUUCGACUUAUUGAAAGAAUUUCUCAAACGAAUCAAUGUUGGAGUUAAGAAGACAUAUUCUGGGGAAAUCAUCUCAACAUAGAUAAAAUUCUUAUACGAUUACAUGCCAAAGUAUUGCAAAUAUUGUGAACUUCAAGGCAGAGACAUGAUUUUCGUCGAGGCGGGUUAAAAAGAUACGUAAGCAUACUAAAAGUAUUCACAAAUGAUUGGAUCGAGGCGGGUCAAAUAUAAAUAGGUCGGAUUCGACAUAAGCAACUAAAUAAAAUUCAACUCUACCUCAACACAAACAAUAAAAUCGAGGAAUUAUAUGUUUGACAUAAUAUUAAAAUGAGUAUGAGAGAAUGUAUUUUUUAAAAAAUUAAUUACGGUCUUGUCUCCAUCAUUUUUUAUAUAUAUGUUACUAGUAUACGUACCCGCGUAAUGCGUAUAUAAUAUUAAAAUAUUAUUUUCAAUUUUUUUUAUUGUGAUAUCUUGUUCGAGUAUAUUAAAUCAUACAAAAGUUCAACUAUCAUAUUGUUUCUCAUUAAUGAAAUGUAAUCCCUCCCCCUCCCCCCUCCCCCACCCACCCUCACCCCAUAACUAAUUUAUUACUAUUAUAUUGUUCACAAUUUAAAAUCAUUAAAUUGUUGGUACUGGUUUUUAUUAGCAUAUCAUUUAGCUUAAUAUAAUCAUUAAAUAAUUUUUCUAAUUAAUAUAAAACAUAUAUAUUUAUUGUGUUUACUCGUGAUUUUUUAAUUUUAUUUUAGUGUUCACACCUCUCUAAUUUAAAGUUUUAUGGACAAUAAUAUGUAUAUUAUUGAACUAUUUUAUUGUACUCUCAAAAUUAUUCAAAAUAUUCUCCCCACCCCUCUUCCCCCUUCUUUUUUUACUGUAUUUUUAUUACUUUUCGCUAAUCUAAUUUGAAUGAUUUUUUUAUGUUACACGUCAGAAGCACUUGAGUGUUUUUUUAUUUCAAUAUAUAGAAUACUAAGCUUAAAUUUGUUACUUAAAUUCUAUAUUUUAAUGUUUCAUUAUUCAUUGAGAUUUUAGUGAUAUGAUAUAUAGAUUUUAAGUCUUUUCUCGUUAUAAUUGAAAAAAUAUUUUCUCAUCUAAAAGCCCUUCAACUUUUUUUACAUUAUAAUUUAUAAUUUGUUUCCUAGUUUUGUCCUAACUUAAUAGUUAUUGUAUUAUUCAUAAAUUAGUAUCCUUACAUUAGUAUGUAAGAUUUUAAUAGCUUGUAACUUUAUCUAAUAUUCUUAUGGUGCGUAAGAUAUUAAUAAGAAUAUCAGUUAGUUAUAUCUAUUUACAUUUUAUAAUGGAUAAAUUUUUACAACAUGAAAUUAAAAUUGAUAAAAUUCACUAAUAAAGUUAGUGAUCAAUAACUUUAAAAAAAAUAGAGGAGUAAUCUUAACAUUAUAAAUCAUUGUAGAAGUAUAUGUAAGAGGAGCAAAGAAAGUAAAACUCCAUUACAAAUCAAAUUGUACUUAAGUUUGAAUUCAAAUAUCAUUUUAAUUUUUUUUUUAAAUCUUUUUAUCGCUUAUCUCUAUCCUUGAUUUUAUUAAUACAAUAAUAUUUUUUAUAAGCUAUAUAUUUGAAUGGAGAGAAAUAUUUGGAAUUAAUAAGAUAGUUGAUGAUUAAAUUGACUAAAGGGUCACUUGGUGUAGUUAUACCAAAGAAUUAUUUGAAGAAGAAAAAACAGAUAUGACUAAAAUGACAGCAUUCAUAAUUUCACAAGUUAAAAAUAUACCUUUGCACUCUCAGCAAGACAAAAACACUAAUUAUUUAUAUAGAACUUAAUAUAUAUAUAUAUAUAAACUUAAAAGUGGAAAUUCCUAUCUUGAAAGUUGGAUUAUAAUUGUGCUCCUACAUCAUAUUAAAAUAUAAUGAGAAUAUCUAUAAUCAUAUCACUAGUAUGAUACAAUAAAUUUAUUUCAAAUUAACUGUUCAUGAUAAACACAUUUAUUUUAUAGCUUUACUCUAUUUUAAUACCUAAAAAAAUUGUUAUAAACAUGAGUAAAUGUGUAUCGUUCAGAUCUUGGUCAUAGUUCAAGGGUACUAUAUAAAAUGCGCAAAAUACAAUAUAUAUAUCAACAAUACGACAUUCAAUAAAGAUCACAAACGUCAUGUAGUGAUAUAUUUGUCUUUUCAAUUAGAAAAUGUUAAACAACUCACAUUUCAAAUAUUAUAUUUAUUUGUAUUGAAUUUAUUUAACAAAUUGUUACGACCUGAUUUCGAAAACUAAGGUCUCGAAGCCAAUUUCACAACUUUGGCAAUUUUGUUGAGUUUUUGAAAAAUUUAUAAUUUGGAAGUCGCCACUUAGUUUUUUAGGAAAAAUUAAGAAAACCAUUUAAAACAGGAAUAUUUGAAAGAAAACAUAUUAAAUAAAAUCAGAGUCGGGUAAGGGUUCAAAUAAUUCUCUAAGGAAGGGUUUAGGCAUCUUAGAGAAUCCGCUGAUUCGCGGUUGACCGACGGAUUUAAAAGUUGGCUAAUUUUAAAAGAAAACUUAAAUUACUUGAAAAAAUCUUAUUUGAAACUUAGAAAAUCUUUUGAUAUUUCUAAAAAAUCUCAAGAAUAAUCUUAACUUAGCUAGCGUUUGGCCAUAGAUUUCCAAAUAUAUUUGGCAAAUAUUAUUUGGGUGAAGAUUUGGGUGAAAUUUCACCAUGUGUUUGGCCAUAGUAUUUGGGAAAUAUAUUUCAAUUUUUUAAGAAAUAUGACUUAUGCCCAUAAGUUUUUAAAACUAUCAAAACUAACCAUAAAUUUGUAUUACAUAGCAAAAUAGAAAUGUCGCGUAACAAGAUUCAUGACUUCCGCAACAAAUCAAAAAGCAUCAUUACAGUAAAUAGUCGCAUCGUUAAAAAAGACUAGUACAAAUCAUGAUAAUGAAAAUACAACUAAUAUGAAUUUGAAAAAGAAGAAGAAAACAGAAGGAAAUAAAUAUUGCAAUGUAUGCUCUUGUACAUGUAUGCUCUUUAUAAUAGAAAAAUUUAUUAAUUGAGUUAGUUAGCAAAUGGAGAUUUGAUUGAGUUGGUUGGUGUUAAUAAAUAAAGUGUUUUUGUAAAAGAUAAAAGUUUGGUGUUAAAUUUGAAUUUUUAAAACUUUCCAAAUAAUGAGAUUUGGCCCAAAUACUAGAAAAAACUAGUAUUUGGGAAUUUGGGUUAUUUGCCAAAAAAAAUUGCCAAAUAAUGAGAAAGUGUAUGGACAAACAAUAUUUGCCAAAUUUUUUCCCAAGUUUUACUUGGGAAAUCUAUGGCCAAACGGGCCCUUAAAACUUCUAUCCAUUGUCAAGUUUUGAAUCAUACAAUUAAUUCAAACUUAUAAACAUGGAUUAAAAGACUUUGUUUAAUAACUACGAAAGGAUAUAGAAAAUCCUUAAGUCAUUCUUAUAAAGUCCUAAGUUAACUUUAAAGACAACUAAUUUAGUUUUAAAAAAAACUUAGCAAUUUUAUCCUAUUCAAAAAUUUGAACUAAAUAGUUAGUUCAAACUCAUAAACAUGGAUUCAAAGCUUUUCAAUAACUAUGAAAGAACAUGAAAAGUUCUUAAGUUAUUCUAAGGGAUAAGGAUCUAAAAAAUACCUCAACUUUGGUCGAAUUUGCUGUUGCAAUACUAAACUUUCAUGAGGACCUAUUACCUCCCUAGACUAUUUAAUACUGUAUUUUAAACAUACAUAUUUGCCCACGUGGACAUAAAAAAUAAUGCAAAAUUAUAAAUAGUAAUGUGUCCACGUGUGCACAUAUAUACCUUUAAAAUACACUAUUAAAUAGUUCAGGGGGUAAAAAAUACACUAUUAAAUAGUCUAGGGAGGUAAUAGGUCCUCAUGAAAGUUUAGUAUCGCAACAGCAAAUUUGACCAAAGUUGAGGAUUGGGUUGUUUGGUAUAAAAAUGCUAUAUUGAGCUUGUUGGAGUCUUUGGAUUUUAAAAAUUGCUUCUUUCAAAUAUAUAUUUGUCCUCCUAGUUUAAGAUAUAAGAUGCAUAUGCUUGACAUGAAAAUUGCAUUUUAGAUUGGAUUAAUAAGUUAGGUUUUCUGGAAAAGACAUAUUUUCAAGUCUCAAUUAGAUUAAUUGUUGUGGUCUGUUUACUGCCUCUCUUAGAUACUUUCCAUUUCUUUGAAAUGUUGGAAUUUGUUAAGCUUUCCCAGCAACUCAUGUUGUGUGAACUCAUGUUUCAAAUUACAUUUCCUCUCACUUUCUAUGUGUUAAAUAUAUUAAGAUAGAUAGAUAUAUGUAUGUUUAGUGUUCUUGCUCUUCUUAGAUGGUUACCUUAACUUUUUUUUAGGUACUCUUAAGUGUUAUGGUAAAAAUUCAAUUGUCCUUUUCCUUAUCUAAUAUUUUGAUAUUCUUAUCGCUUAAGUAUGUGUUUGGAAUUUAUGAUUGUGUUGUUUCUUGGUUUGAAUGUGGAAGAAUUGUGUUAGGUUUGGAAAUUAAUUGUCUUUGUUUGUUUCUGUUGGUUUCUUCCAUUGUUUGACUUAUGUAAAUUGCAUUAUUAUGUAUUGUUUGAGUUUGUUUAUGUUAAUUUGCUAAUCUUUUAUUCCUUUAUUUCUUGGUGCAUGAACACUCUCUCGUUGAGUCCAAUUUGGACUCCCAUCUCAUGCAUUUUCCUCUCUUCGAGUCCUCCUCCAAGUCGUGAAAGAGAAGUUAUUUUUAUUGGGUUAAAAAUUCAAUAAAUGAGGCAGAUUGCAGCGGUCCUAAAGGGCUGAAACUUGAGUAUUUUGGACUUAAAAGCUUGGUAAAAUGACCAGCAGCAGUAGAGACCUCAAAAAGGCCGAAAAAGGAGAAACAAAAUUGGGUUAAAACCCCUAAAGGAUCAAGAGGCAACACAACAAUUUCAGCCCCGAAAUGAUCGAAUGUGGGCUGGAAUUUCCAGUUUUUGACUCACUGUUCAUGUUACUUCCUCUUAUUAUUUUAUUUGUGAUGGCUAACAUUUUCUUAAUCUAGAUGAAAUUCCCAUGGAUCUCUUCGAGUUUAUUUUUAUCAAAGUUUUCUUUAUUAUAAUUGGUAGCAUUUCAAAUUUUCAAAUUCCCAAAACUCAUUUUAAGUUAUGCAAUUUAAGCUUAUUAGAAUAAGGGAUAAGGGUAUGAAAAAUACCUUAACUUUGGUCGAAUUUGCUGUUGCGAUACUAAACUUUCAUGAGGACCUAUUACCUCCCUAGACUAUUUAAUACUGUAUUUUAAACAUACAUAUUUGCCCACGUGGACAUAAAAAAUAAUGCAAAAUUAUAAAUAGUAAUGUGUCCACGUGUGCACAUAUAUACCUUUAAAAUACACUAUUAAAUAGUUCAGGGGGUAAAAAAUACACUAUUAAAUAGUCUAGGGAGGUAAUAGGUCCUCAUGAAAGUUUAGUAUCGCAACAGCAAAUUCGACCAAAGUUAAGGUAUUUUUCAUACCCUUAUCCCUUAUUCUAAUAAGCUUAAAUUGCAUAACUUAAAAUGAGUUUUGGGAAUUUGAAAAUUUGAAAUGCUACCAAUUAUAAUAAAGAAAACUUUGAUAAAAAUAAACUCGAAGAGAUCCAUGGGAAUUUCAUCUAGAUUAAGAAAAUGUUAGCCAUCACAAAUAAAAUAAUAAGAGGAAGUAACAUGAACAGUGAGUCAAAAACUGGAAAUUCCAGCCCACAUUCGAUCAUUUCGGGGCUGAAAUUGUUGUGUUGCCUCUUGAUCCUUUAGGGGUUUUAACCCAAUUUUGUUUCUCCUUUUUCGGCCUUUUUGAGGUCUCUACUGCUGCUGGUCAUUUUACCAAGCUUUUAAGUCCAAAAUACUCAAGUUUCAGCCCUUUAGGACCGCUGCAAUCUGCCUCAUUUAUUGAAUUUUUAACCCAAUAAAAAUAACUUCUCUUUCACGACUUGGAGGAGGACUCGAAGAGAGGAAAAUGCAUGAGAUGGGAGUCCAAAUUGGACUCAACGAGAGAGUGUUCAUGCACCAAGAAAUAAAGGAAUAAAAGAUUAGCAAAUUAACAUAAACAAACUCAAACAAUACAUAAUAAUGCAAUUUACAUAAGUCAAACAAUGGAAGAAACCAACAGAAACAAACAAAGACAAUUAAUUUCCAAACCUAACACAAUUCUUCCACAUUCAAACCAAGAAACAACACAAUCAUAAAUUCCAAACACAUACUUAAGCGAUAAGAAUAUCAAAAUAUUAGAUAAGGAAAAGGACAAUUGAAUUUUUACCAUAACACUUAAGAGUACCUAAAAAAAAGUUAAGGUAACCAUCUAAGAAGAGCAAGAACACUAAACAUACAUAUAUCUAUCUAUCUUAAUAUAUUUAACACAUAGAAAGUGAGAGGAAAUGUAAUUUGAAACAUGAGUUCACACAACAUGAGUUGCUGGGAAAGCUUAACAAAUUCCAACAUUUCAAAGAAAUGGAAAGUAUCUAAGAGAGGCAGUAAACAGACCACAACAAUUAAUCUAAUUGAGACUUGAAAAUAUGUCUUUUCCAGAAAACCUAACUUAUUAAUCCAAUCUAAAAUGCAAUUUUCAUGUCAAGCAUAUGCAUCUUAUAUCUUAAACUAGGAGGACAAAUAUAUAUUUGAAAGAAGCAAUUUUUAAAAUCCAAAGACUCCAACAAGCUCAAUAUAGCAUUUUUAUACCAAACAACCCAAUGGCGAAGAGUAUACAACUUAUAUUUCUAAUUAUAUGCAUUCAAAAGAGGGUAAAUGGAAGGAAGGAAACCAUCCGUAAUUAUAUCGAUCAGCAACUAUAUAACAUGGAUUUCAAAGUUGAAUAAGAAUUAAGUUAACUAGAAGCACAUAUUUCACAUAGAUUUACGAACUCGGCUAAGCGAAGGAAUCAUCUACACAUUUUCUCAAGUAUAUGGAAAUAACCAUGAAGGAAAUAUAAAAUAGGCGAGUUCAAAUAAGUAACUUGAACAAGAUCAUACUUCAUAAGAAAACAGAAAAUAAACUAGCACACCAUAUAUGAUACUCGAAAAAAAUAAAAAAACAUACCUAGCCAUCAAGACACAUAAUAGAAAUAAGCAAUGGCCAUAAUGAAACGCCCUAAACAAAUUUACUUGCUGAACAAAUAAGAGCUAAACUUGGCUAAUCUACAAGAUUAAACUUGGCUAAUCUACAAGAUUAUAGGAAAUACCCAAAACUGAAAAUGACAGGAUAUUAGGAAGAGAAAACUAACUAAGCCAAAAUUAAUUUUUGCUCGGAAUAAACAACAACAACAACAACAAAAGAACACUUCAGAUAAUGAGGAAAAUAACAAUUUAUUUUUCUAUGCUAAAGCAGCUAAUACCAAACAUGAUUACAACGAGCAAAACAUAAUUGAGAGCGCACGAAACAUUGAAAUAAAGAGAAGAUUACCUGGUUCUGGGCAGCGAACCGGACGUCAAGUUUGACGGAGACGACCACCACCUCCUUCAACUCAAACAACCACAAAAGCUACAAAAUUUGAACUAUUGAACCAAGAAUUCCCAAAACAUUUAGGGUACUCUUUGGUCUCCAAAAAAAAUCCUCCUGAACAGUGAAGAGAGAAGGGCUUAUAUAGGACAAUUUCUGAGUCGAAAUUGAGGGGGAAAAUGAUGUGGGACUACUGUAAAUUUUGAAAUUCUUAGAGGAUAAGGUGUGAGCUGUAAUGUACCAUUCUCAACGGAAAAACUGACGAGGGCCGCUUGAUUUUGAACAAGGACGAGCGAGGCGUCAAGAUGCAAACACCUGGCUUCGUACGAGGAUAUUUCUGUACGAGAGGAUAAGGAGAGAGCACGCACUGCUGCUGGGUUCGCUAUUUGCUGUUGGUUCGCGUUUGGUACACGUUUUCUGGGUUUGGGUCGCAAUUCAGGAGAAGAAGACGCGUGAAGGUGUCGUUCUGGGUAUUGUACGCGUAUGUACUGCUGUACUGUUCUUUUGCUGAAAUAAAA
rnacentral:lncRNA from 1 species